GUGGGGAAUCUUCCGCAAUGGACGAAAGUCUGACGGAGCAACGCCGCGUGAGUGAUGAAGGUCUUCGGAUUGUAAAGCUCUGUUAAUCGGGACGAAAGAGCCUAGUGUGAAUAAUGCUAGGAAGUGACGGUACCGGAAUAGAAAGCCACGGCUAACUACGUGCCAGCAGCCGCGGUAAUACGUAGGUGGCAAGCGUUGUCCGGAAUUAUUGGGCGUAAAGCGCGCGCAGGCGGAUCUGCCAGUCUGUCUUAAAAGUUCGGGGCUUAACCCCGUGAUGGUAUGGAAAAUACAGAUCUAGAGUAUCGGAGAGGAAAGGGGAAUUCCUAGUGUAGCGGUGAAAUGCGUAGAUAUUAGGAAGAACACCAGUGGCGAAGGCGACUUUCUGGACGAAAACUGACGCUGAGGCGCGAAAGCCAGGGGAGCGAACGGGAUUAGAAACCCGGGUAGUCC
rnacentral:rRNA from 1 species